UCCUUGAAACAAUCAUGCCUAGAAACCCGCAUGCUAUGAUGCCCUCUCCAAAAGUGGAGGUGAGCGCAUGUCUCCCAUAAAUACACAUAUCCAAUCGUUUGCUUAAGUUGUGGCCUUCCAAGGUGUAACCAUAGUGGCGCAUGACAUUAAGACUCCUUACAUCCUCUGAUGCUUCAAUCAAGGCACCCAAAUUGAGCUAAUGAUGGUUUGAGGGUAUGCCUCAGCAUAGUCCCAUUCUGAAGACUUCUGUCGGCAUCA
rnacentral:lncRNA from 1 species